rnacentral:rRNA from 1 species
CCUACGGGUGGCUGCAGUGGGGAAUAUUGGACAAUGGGCGAAAGCCUGAUCCAGCCAUGCCGCGUGUGUGAAGAAGGCCUUCGGGUUGUAAAGCACUUUCAGUGGGGAAGAAAGCCUUGGGGCUAAUACCCUCGAGGAAGGACAUCACCCACAGAAGAAGCACCGGCUAACUCCGUGCCAGCAGCCGCGGUAAUACGGAGGGUGCGAGCGUUAAUCGGAAUUACUGGGCGUAAAGCGCGCGUAGGCGGUCUGAUAAGCCGGUUGUGAAAGCCCCGGGCUCAACCUGGGAACGGCAUCCGGAACUGUCAGGCUAGAGUGCAGGAGAGGAAGGUAGAAUUCCCGGUGUAGAGGUGAAAUGCGUAGAGAUCGGGAGGAAUACCAGUGGCGAAGGCGGCCUUCUGGACUGACACUGACGCUGAGGUGCGAAAGCGUGGGUAGCAAACAGGAUUAGAUACCCGAGUAGU